UACGUAGGGGGCGAGCGUUGUCCGGAAUCAUUGGGCGUAAAGCGCGUGUAGGCGGUCCAGUAAGUCUGCUGUGAAAGUCCAGGGCUCAACCCUGGGAUGCCGGUGGAUACUGCUGAACUAGAGUGCGGAAGAGGCGAGUGGAAUUCCCGGUGUAGCGGUGAAAUGCGCAGAUAUCGGGAGGAACACCAAUUGCGAAGGCAGCUCGCUGGGACGUUACUGACGCUGAGACGCGAAAGCGUGGGGAGCAAACAGG
rnacentral:rRNA from 1 species